CUCAGCCUGCACUCCAGAUCAGGCCAUGCUCUCAGCUACCAUAUUCCUUUGAUGGCAUUUGGAAGCUGCUGGUGCCCAGCAUCAAUUAGAGCAGAGAGGGCAAUAAGGGCAGCAGGAGCUCCCUUUGCUUCAGGGGUGUCUCCAGGAGUGGAGGUGCAGAGCAGGUGUGUUCAAUUUGUGCCUGAAGUUGUUGUGUUGUUGAGUUGGUACAAUGGAAUAAAAGUUGAAAUGCUCUGGGUAAAGUGCUGCAGAAGACUGCCAGUGGUAUUUUUUUUAGUUUGUUGAGUAGGUAUGAAUUGUAGGUAGGUAAGUAGGUAGAGUGUGCAAGCUUUUUUCAGCCUAAGUUUAAUGCAACAGCUGUGCUGCAUUAGCUUUGCUCUGUAGGCACCUGUGAGCUGCUGGGAGGGGCUGUGAAGCUGUGCCACUGCCUUAAAGGUGCAGGAAGGGUGGGCUUUGUGGUGUGAAUCUCUUUCUCUUCUCCAGGUCUGUGAUGUGAGUUGAGAUGUCCUAUCUGCAAGUUCCCCCCAGCUGCGUGAGCUUGCAGAAGAACCAGUUCUGCUCAGCUUUGGCUUUUGAAGAGAAGAAAUGAUUGCUGGAGAAGCUCAGCUGGGCAGCAGGCUGCUGCAUUGGGCUGCUGCGUUGGGCAUGGUGUAGGAAACGAAACACACCACGGUGUGGGAUUGCUGCCCUGGGCGAUGGGAGAACUUGGCUUUAAAAGAAAAGCAGAGAUUUCUUUUCCCCCAUCCAUUUGUGCAGAAAAACCCUCUGAGCGGGGCGUGAUUUCCUCCCUUGGCUGAGAUCACCUGCCUCUGGCUCUCAGCUACCAGCAGCCCGGGUGUCCAAAAUAAGAUGUGGGCACUCAUUGUGGUUGCUGGGCAAAGCUUGCUCUUCCUCAGACCCAGCCCAGGAGUAUGUUGGGGUGUGGUGUGGUGCAGAGGGUGCUCUGUAAGACGUGGGCACUUUGGGCUGGAGGGCUGGGAGCAGCCUGUGGGAUGGGAAGGAGUACACAGCCAUGGACGACCUCAAUGGGACAGAAGGCCUCCCAGACCCUGCAUUGAGGAGAAUGAGCUCAAGCUGGAGGAAGGGCAGCUCUCACCUGCAGAGGCCUCUUCUGAAAAGAAGGGUGCCCCAAGAGUAGGGCCUAAAAUGGGUGAAUCUGCCACUAACUGUCCAUUCCCCAGAGGAAUCAGAAAGAAGUCAGGAUUUUGUUUUCUUUCUGCUUUCAAACUCCAUUGGGAUUUUGUGUGUAGCCCCACUAAGUUAAUGAACACAGAUGGGUGCCAAUAGGAGUUUACUUUGUGGCUAGGGAUUCAGGAAGAGCUCCAGAGCAGACAAUCCUCCCACCAUUUGCAUCGAAUCAUAGGCUCUUAGAGCCAUUAUGGUUGGAAAAGACCUCUAAGAUCAUCCAGUCCAACCCAGCCCACCCCCACCAUGCCCACUGACUACGUCCCUCAGUGCCACAUCUCUAAGGACGGUGACUCCACCACCUCCAUCACCACUCUUUCUGAGAAGAAGUAUUUCCUCAUAUCCAGGCUGAACGCUGACCUGCAUGGAGCCACCACAUCUUCAGCAGCUCUCCUACUGCAGCUUCUUUUUGUAAUGAAAAACUAUGGGAUUUGCAAAGGAAGAUGAGACUGUCUUCUAUCUGAGCAACAUACUGUAGCAAAUCUGUGGUAGCUCAGUGUUCACCAAGUGGAGAGCACCAGGGCUCCCAGACAGGAGGAUGGAGCUCACUACAUCAAGCACAGCAAGCCAGGAGCUUCUUGAAUUGCUUCUGUUCUGCUGAGACUGGAAUUUGUUGGAGGCUCACCUGUGCUGACAUGACCUUGUGUAGCAGAAAUGCUAAAUCACAGCUUGAAGCAGUGAUUGAGCACCUGGUGGGAAGGCAGGGCCAACCCAGGGGAGCUCAGGUGUGUGCAAUGCAGCUGAGUGACCGGAAUGGGUGAAGCCAGGAUCCACCCCUUUCCAGACCUCAUUUAAGGGUUGGCAGUGAAGGCAAGGGUAUCUUCCUGGAGAUCCCUGCAUAUCUGAGGCCUUUUGAAGGGCUGGGAGGUCCCUGAGUGAUUGCACCUGGACGUGUGUUACCUGCUGCUUCUCCACCCUUGAGAUGUAUGAUCACAUCAGGACAACUGGUCAGGAUGUGCUACAGAGCAGCAUUUUUAGUCUCCUUGACUUAGCAGAAAUGACAGAUGGCUGCGGCUGGGAUGGAGCCGUUCCUUUCCCUGCUCAGAAGAGGGCAAUCAGCAAAACCUCAGGGCAGCUCCAAGGGACAUGAGAGUCUUGCUUUACACACGCACAGAGCAGCCCUGGAAGGAGUGAAAUGAAGAACUGUCAAGGAAAGUUGGAGGAGUUGUGCUGUCCCAAGCGUGCAGGCACGGUGCUUGUAAAACCACAGGGUGUGAGCGUGGUAUUAGCAAGCCUUUGUGUCAUCUCCAGGGGAGAGCUGAGUCCCAUUGAAGGCAGAGGACAGACGUCAUUCAGAGGGAUUUCCUGACGGGAUAUUUCAGGAGCCCUGUCACUGAGCCCUAGGGCCUGCAGCAGGAUGGAGGGCUGAGGAUGGAUUUGUUUAAAAGGCAGAAGCCCUGCAGCCAAGACACCCAAACCCUGCUCAUUGCCUUGGCCUUGCUGCAGCAGGUAGCCAAGCAGCUGGCUGUGUGAGUGUGCGGCGCGUGGCUCAGCACAACCUGUGCUCCAGAGGACGUCCAGGAGAGAUUAGCAGGAGGAAAUCUGUAGCUAAUGGGAGUUUCCAUUUAUGAGGAGAUUCUACAGCUCUUCCAGCAUUCCCCUGCACUGGUCCCAGGAGCUGAAUUUAUGACAAGAAGUUUCAAAGCGAGCUGUAUAAGGAAGAAGCAAGUCUGAGAUCCUGCUCUGCCCAUGCCAGGAGGUCCCAGGUUCCUUCCAAGCUUAUGCCCAGGAUUUGGUUUCAGCAGUAAUCUAAGGGAAGUGGUUGGCUCUCUCCUGCCUGUGCCUGACCCCUGUCCAACAGCACGAAGGAGAAUGAAGAGGAUGGACUUUGCUGGAGGCAGGAACCUCUCCAAGGUGUGGAUCUGCUGCAUGUGCCCAUCUGGAAUUUUUAACGCCGUGAGGCUCAAGGGACGUCUUGACUGUUCCUCAUUCCAACUCUUGCUGGAUUACCUGUCCAAGGCUCCAUAAUUGCAGCUGCUGCUGAGAUAACAAAGUCUGCUUUGGGACCAGCAGUGCAGCCCCUGGGAAGCACUGAUCCCCCUCUGUGUCAGGAUGUGCUGUCUGCAGGGCAGCUGAGUGAGUCAAGGGCUGGAUUUGCCUUGCUCUGAACUGAACAAAUACAGCAAGGCACAGCCUGCUCCAAGCUUCUUUAGGUCCAGCAAGAGACAGCAAAAUUCACUGGUUUCACUUUGAGGUGUGAUGGAAGACAGAUCCUAUCAGAAACUUCUCUGUGUCAUCUGGUUGGCCAAGACACCUACAGACUGCCGUGGCUGAGUGCUCUGUGUUUGCUUUGAAGUGCCCCAUGCAUCUGCAGGCUCUGCUCCUCACUCCUUCCUGAUGCCCUCCGCGGUGACACCUGUCAGGGUGAGCAGCUUCUAUCACCGUCCUCUGCGUGGAGAGGCUCCCUCGCUGCUCUGAGGGUCCAUUUGUUUCCUCUUAUCACAGCCUAAUGAUUUGGCCAAGGAAAAUUUCUGCCCAUCCUGGGGACAGUGGCUGAGAGAUCGGGAGAACCUGGCCUCCAGGAUGGAGUUUGCAAUGUAAUAACCUCAUUCUGCUACAAAUGCUGAGGCUUCACGACUCAUCUGUCUGCCAGGCAGAGCAUUUCCUGACCUUUUUAAGAAAGCUGGGGAUGGAAAAGCAGCCGGACUGGAGGGUGUCCCGUCUGCCUGGAACCAAAACAGCAUCGCUGAGAGUUCUGGAGGGGAGGAAACUUGCAGCUCAGAGCCAGCAGUGAGGGCUGAGAGCUUGCAUGACCUCCCCUUCCUCCAGAGAGGGAAGAUUGGACUGGCUGCUAUUAUAUUUGAGCAUGUAAGUGAUGAUGUUCUCCUUCAAAUAUCUCAUCAGCUGAUAAAUGCAAAUCCAGAAGAAGCUGAUGCUUGCAUAGGGAGCUGGAUGUCCAGGGCUGCUUUCUCUGAUGGUGUUGGACAUGAGCAGUGGGUAUCCCACAUUUUGCACUAAGGACAUUGGAGGUGUGAUGGCAGAAGGCACUGCUUCCAUCAGUGUUUUCGGUGGCAAGUUUGAGAAUGGAAACCUAAAACACUGCAGCUUCUCUGGUGCUGUCCCAGGUCAGGUGUCCUAGGUCAGAGAUGUCUCAUGGGAGCAUGGCUGUCCCCUGUUAGUGAAAGAUGUCCUUGUUUCAGCUGGAAUAGAAUGGAUUGUCACCUAGUAGCUGGGAUGGUGUUCUGUUUUGGAUUUAGGAUGAUCCUUCUGGUCUCUUCCAACUUGGGAUAUUCUGUGAUUCAUAAUGCGGGUAACACACCAGUGGUUUUGUUGGUGCAGAGAGGUGCUGCAUGGAGCCAAGGGCAUCUCAGCUUCUCUUGUUGCCCUGCCAGUGAGGGGAUGGGGGGCACAAACUGCUGAGAGGGGACAGCACUACAACAGCAAACCAAAAGGAUAUCCCAUACCAUAUGGCAUCAUGCUGAGUCUGUUCUCUCCCCCAUCUCUUUCGGAGGAGUGAUCAGACUGCUGUAUGGUGCUGAGCAGCCCACCAAGUCCAAGCCACAGAGGUGGUACGGGACACACAGACACACACCCGACACAGGACAGGGCUGACAGG
ensembl:lncRNA